AUCAACUUUCGAUGGUAGGAUAGAGGCCUACCAUGGUGGUAACGGGUAACGGGGUGUUAGGGCACGACACCGGAGAGGGAGCCUGAGAAACGGCUACCACAUCCAAGGAUGGCAGCAGGCGCGCAAAUUACCCAAUCCCGACACGGGGAGGUAGUGACAAUAAAUAACAAUACGGGGUUCUUUCGGAUUUCGUAAUUGGAAUGAGUACAAUUUAAAUCUCUUAACGAGGAACAAUUGGAGGGCAAGUCUGGUGCCAGCAGCCGCGGUAAUUCCAGCUCCAAUAGCGUAUAUUAAAGUUGCUGCAGUUAAAAAGCUCGUAGUUGAAUUUCGGGACCAUCAUGUCGGUCGUGCCUAGGUACGUACUGGUAUUGUUGGUUUCUCCCUUCUGACGAACCAUGAUGUCAUUUAUUUGGUGUUGUGGGGAAUCAGGACUGUUACUUUGAAAAAAUUAGAGUGUUUAAAGCAGGCUCACGCUUGAAUACAUUAGCAUGGAAUAAUGAAAUAGGACGUUUGAUUCUAUUUUGUUGGUUUCUAGGAUCGACGUAAUGAUUAAUAGGGAUAGUUGGGGGCAUUAGUAUUCAAUUGUCAGAGGUGAAAUUCUUGGAUUUAUUGAAGACUAACUACUGCGAAAGCAUUUGCCAAGGAUGUUUUCAUUAAUCAAGAACGAAAGUUAGGGGAUCGAAGACGAUCAGAUACCGUCGUAGUCUUAACCAUAAACUAUGCCGACUAGGGAUCGGAUGAUGUUAAUUUUUUAAUGACUCAUUCGGCGCCUUACGGGAAACCAAAGUGUUUGGGUUC
rnacentral:rRNA from 1 species